AAGAGUGCGUAAUAGCUCACUGGUCAAGUGACUCCGCGCCGAUAAUCCAACGGGGCUCAAGCUCGUCACCGAAGCUAUGGUUUGAGAGGUGAGAGGUGAGAAGUUAGAAGUGGGAGAGAGUGAGAUUCGCUCAUUCCACGAUCUAAGAGUGUACCAGAGAGGGUAUCAGUUGGCCCUAGAGGUGCACAAGAUGGCUAGAACACUACCCGCCCCCGAAAAGUAUGAACUAGGAGCACAGUUAAGAAGGGCAGCAGUCUCUAUCCCAGCGAACAUCGCCGAAGGGUAUGGACGGAAGAACUCCCAAGCAGAGUUUAAGCACUUUUUACGCAAUGCACUAGGGUCAAGCAAUGAGAUGCAAGUGUUAGUACAACUUGCGAUUGAUUUGGGGUACUGGACAGAUGUAGAGAUGGUGAACCAGUAUAACGAACUGGGGAAGCAGAUAUAUAGCCUGAUCCAGGUGUGGAAGUAAGUUCUCACAUCUGAUUUCUCACAUCUCACCUCUCAGAGGUAGGGGAGCGUUCCUAGUGGAUAGAAGCAUGACCGUAAGGACGUGUGGACUGCUAGGAAGUGAGAAUGCCGGUAUGAGUAGCGAAUAGUCAGGUGAGAAUCCUGACCGCCGAAAACCCAAGGUUUCCUGAGGAAGGAUCGUCCGCUCAGGGUAAGUCGGGACCUAAGCCGAGGGCUACGGCCGUAGGCGAUGGACAACUGGUUGAGAUUCCAGUACCACCGAAAUCCGUUUGAGCGAUGGGGUAACGCAGACUGGUAGGCAAAGCGUACCGUUGGUUGAGUACGCCUAAGCGUGUAGGGAGUAGAGCAGGCAAAUCCGCUCUACAAUUCUGAAGCGUGAUGGGGAGCGAAAUUAAGUAGCGAAGUUGCUGAACCUAAGCUGCCAAGAAAAGCCUCUAGUUAGGAUUAGGUGCCCGUACCGUAAACCGACACAGGUGGGUGAGGAGAGAAUCCUAAGGCGCGCGGGAUAAUCGUCGUUAAGGAACUCGGCAAAAUGGCCCCGUAACUUCGGGAGAAGGGGCGCCUCGAGAGAGGCCGCAGUAAAGUGGCUCAAGCGACUGUUUACCAAAAACACAGGUCUCUGCGAAGUCGAAAGACGAAGUAUAGGGGCUGACGCCUGCCCGGUGCUGGAAGGUUAAGGGAAGCGCUUAGCGCAAGCGAAGGUGUGAACCGAAGCCCCAGUGAACGGCGGCCGUAACUAUAACGGUCCUAAGGUAGCGAAAUUCCUUGUCGGGUAAGUUCCGACCCGCACGAAUGGCGUAACGACUUGAGCGCUGUCUCGACGACGAGCCCGGUGAAAUUGUGAUACCUGUGAAGACGCAGGUUACCCGCGAUUGGACAGAAAGACCCCGUGGAGCUU
rnacentral:rRNA from 1 species